rnacentral:rRNA from 1 species
UGGGAAAAUUAUUUCGAGCGUCUUACCAGAACGGGUUCGACGGUGAGGGACGAAAGCUGGGGGCACGAACCGGAUUAGAUACCCGGGUAGUCCCAGCCGUAAACGAUGCUCGCUAGGUGUCAGGCAUGGCGCGACCGUGUCUGGUGCCGCAGGGAAGCCGUGAAGCGAGCCACCUGGGAAGUACGGCCGCAAGGCUGAAACUUAAAGGAAUUGGCGGGGGAGCACAACAACGGGUGGAGCCUGCGGUUUAAUUGGACUCAACGCCGGACAACUCACCGGGGACGACAGCAAAAUGUAGGCCAGGCUGAAGACCUUGCCUGAAUCGCUGAGAGGAGGUGCAUGGCCGUCGCCAGUUCGUACUGUGAAGCAUCCUGUUAAGUCAGGCAACGAGCGAGACCCAA